rnacentral:piRNA from 1 species
UCGCACCUGGAGAUGAAGGUACUCAGC